rnacentral:lncRNA from 1 species
AAACUUCAAGAAAGGAUGCACUAGAUUUAAUUGAAAAUGUUAAGAUUGCCCAAAAAAGGAUUACUUAGAGUUGAUCAAGCUCAAGAUGAACAAACCUACCUUGAAAAUUUAGCAGUACAGAGAAAUGCUUCUGCUUUUUUUGAAAAUUAUGAUCAGAGUGGGAUACAAGAGUUAUUAACUACGGCACUAGCCAGGUGGUUGUCUACAAAAGAGGAUGGGUGCUCUCAACUGGAGUUCCCAAGUGGAAUUAUGAGUCAAAUGAACAAUGUCGGUUUCUCCACUGCGAUCCUACUGAUGCCGGUGGACCCUACUGCCCUCUUAGACUACAGAGAAAUCCACCAGAUCAUAAGGGAGUUGGCUGUUGGAAUUUAUUGCUUAAAUCAAAUUCCUUCCAUCAGUUUAGAAGCUAAUUAUGAUCAGAGUUCUUCUUGUCAAUUACCUCCAGCUUAUUUUGAUACCAGAAUUGGGCAGAUUCUGAUCCAUAUUGACUACAUGUUGAAAGCACUGUGGCAUGGAACAUACAUGCCCAAAGAGAAACAAACCAGGUUCUCCCAAAUGUGGUGUACCAUCUUGGACAUUGAUCCAGAUGGGAAGCCUCAAACAAUUAAAGAGAUUUUUGCAGCGUUUAGUUCAGUAGAUGACAAGGUCAAGACAGAGCGAGAACUGCCUCCGUUUAUUUAUGGACGAGAUUUUAAAUGCCAGAACUUUCACUACAAAGAGAAUCAAUAUUUUCAUGUUCAUGGAGGAAUUGAAUUUGACAUCACCACCCCUUCAAUUGAGAAUGCUUUGGAUGAUUUUAAGAACAAUUUAGAAAAAUUACGGGAUUAUGCUGCCAAUACAUUUGCAGAAGAUUUUGGAUACAAAGAAUAUUACUCAAUACCAGUCAUGGAAUUUCAUGGGAAAAGCUAUUAUGUGGUCUAUUUUGAACUUGAAAUUUUCUAUCGGCAACUAUAUAAGACACAGUGGUGGGGAGCCAUAAAUGAAAUAGUGAACACUUUGAGGGUGAAAAGACUUCCACUGACAGAUGCUCAAUUACAUGAACAAUUUAACAAAAAAUUUGGUUUCAAAAAAGCUAUGAAAUGCAAGAGUAUACCGUUUGGUCUGAAGUCUGCUGUUGAAAGAGGAUUAUCUGCCGUUUUCCACACAUUUAGCCGUAAAACCUCAAGUUCCACGAUAAAUGUCUCAGAUGAAACAGGGUACGCUAUUUUCCACCACGCCGCUCUCCACAACAGAAUUUCCAACAUAUGUCACCUGUGCGGUGCCAACUUCAACAUCAACCAGAGACGCUUUGUUAUUGUCAGCCAAGAGUCAUCCAAAAUGGACACAAAAAAAGAAAGAAAUGGUCCAACACCUCUCCACCUGGCCACACCGGCUUGCUCGUUGGAGAGCACCAUCUGCCUACUUUCUUUCAAAGCUGAUUACACACUUUCUGAAAAAAGAGGCUGGAUGCCGAUCCACUUUGCUGCUUUCUAG